GAUGAACGCUGGCGGCGUGCCUAAUACAUGCAAGUCGAGCGAACGGACGAGGAGCUUGCUUCUCUGACGUUAGCGGCGGACGGGUGAGUAACACGUGGAUAACCUACCUAUAAGACUGGGAUAACUUCGGGAAACCGGAGCUAAUACCGGAUAAUAUUUUGAACCGCAUGGUUCAAUAGUGAAAGACGGUGUUGCUGUCACUUAUAGAUGGAUCCGCGCUGCAUUAGCUAGUUGGGAAGGUAACGGCUUACCAAGGCAACGAUGCAUAGCCGACCUGAGAGGGGGAUAGGCCACAACGGAAAGGAGACACGGUCCCGACUCCUAAGGGAGGGAGCAGUAGGGAAUUCUCCGCAAUGGGGGGAAGCCUUGCGGAGCAACGCCGCGUGAGGGAUGAAGGUCCUCCGAUCGGAAAACCGUGUUAUUAGGGAAAAACAAAUUUGGAAGGAAACGGGGACUGCUUGACGGUAACUAAUCAGAAAGCCCCGGCUAACUACGUG
rnacentral:rRNA from 1 species